AAAAAGGUUCCUUUCGGAACCUUUUUUAUUAGAAUUAAUUUAAUAU
rfam:Flavobacterium sp. 40-81 scnpilot_p_inoc_scaffold_220, whole genome shotgun sequence.